rnacentral:tRNA from 1 species
CAAAAUGUAGCUUAUCUUAAAGCAUCUCGCUUACACCGAGACGAUGUCCCCUCAGCGGGCCAUUUUGA